ACAUGGGGAUUUGGAUUGUCACCCUAGUGUCUCAUGCUAGAGCAAACUGGUUCCUACCCAUUGCCUGGCCUCUGUACCCAUAGGCUGCUGGCACUGAAGUGGAAGAACAAAA
rnacentral:snoRNA from 1 species